CCUACGGGUGGCAGCAGUGAGGAAUAUUGGUCAAUGGCCGAGAGGCUGAACCAGCCAAGUCGCGUGAGGGAAGACGGCCCUACGGGUUGUAAACCUCUUUUGUCGGGGAGCAAAGCGAGUCACGUGUGACUCAUUGAGAGUACCCGACGAAAAAGCAUCGGCUAACUCCGGGCCAGCAGCCGCGGUAAUACGGGGGAUGCGAGCGUUAUCGGGAUUUAUUGGGUUUAAAGGGUGCGCAGGGGGAGGUGCAAGUCAGCGGUAAAAUUGCGGGGCUCAACCCCGUACUGCAGCUGAAACUGGAUGGCUUGAGUGCGGGAGAGGUAUGGGGAAUGCGUGGUGUAGCGGUGAAAUGCAUAGAGAUCACGCAGAACUCCGGUUGCGAAGGCAGCAUACCGGCGCGCAACUGACGCUCAUGCACGAAAGCGUGGGUAUCGAACAGGAUUAGAUACCCCGGUAGUC
rnacentral:rRNA from 1 species